rnacentral:tRNA from 1 species
GGCUGGUUAGUUCAGUCAGCUGAGCAUGGCAUUAACAACGCCAAGGUCACAGGUUCGAUUCCCGUUCAGCCC